AACGAACGCUGGCGGCAUGCCUAACACAUGCAAGUCGAACGAGACCUUCGGGUCUAGUGGCGCACGGCUGCGUACCGCGUGGGAACCUGCCCGUAGGUUCGGAAUACCUCCCCGAAAGGGGUGUUAAUACAGCUUAAUGUCUUCGGACCAAAGAUGUAUCGCCUCUGGAUGGGCCCGGGUGGGAUUCGCGGGUUGGUAGGGUAAAAGCAUGCCAAGGCGUCGUUGCAUGGCUGGUCUGAUAGCAUGACCCGCCGCAGUGGAACUGAGACACGGACCAGAAUCGUACGCAACGGAGCAGUGGGGAAUACUGGACGAUGAGGCAUAGUGUGAUAAAGCCAUGCCGGGGAAGUGAUGAAGGCCGUAGGGUUGUAAAGCUCUUCUACCCGAGAUGAUAAUGACAGUACCGGGAGAAUAAGCACCGGCUAACUACGUG
rnacentral:rRNA from 1 species